UAGAGCCGUAUACGAGACCCGUACGUACGGUUCAACGAGAGGGAAAUAAUUCUUAGCAAUUAUUUCCCUACUCUAU
rfam:Clostridiales bacterium 1_7_47_FAA supercont2.16 genomic scaffold, whole genome shotgun sequence.